CUUUCGGCAGCUGCAGUGGGAAGAAAUGGAAAGAGUUGAAUACAAAAGAGGAAAACGAGCUGGCACAUCCACAAUGCAAUAACACAAAUGAAGGUGCAAAGAAUGAGUGCCUAAAUGAAGGCCAGUGAAGGUUCAGUACAAGAAUUAUUAUUUCCAAAGAACUUGAGUCAGUCAGUGAUGGAGGCAUUUCCUUUGCCUGCAUUGGAGUAGUUGGUCCCUCAGAUCUCUUUCCUCUGCGCCCCUGUCUUUCGUUCACUGUGGGAAAGAAUCAGCCUGCAGCAGUGGAGAGGAAAUUUUGUGGGAGAUGUUCUGCAGUGACCAUAACAGUUUCAGAUGUCAUGGAUGAAUGAACCUACAAAAAAACUCAUCUAAAACUUGUCAUGCUUUGCCUAAACUGGAAUCAAAAUCUUGGGAAAUGUUUGCUGAGUGACAUACAACUUCCAUCUAAAACGAUAACUUGACUCAGAUUCAUUCAACAUUUGGCCUGAGUUUAUGAAAAGCCGCGAGUAGUGGAAUAGCAGCAGCCGUCAUGAGAAGCACGGCAUUCUUACUGAGACCGCAGUUCCAACAAGAGGAUAAAAGGGAACGGGAAUAGGCACUUCUUUCUGGGCUUCAGGAUGUUCGCUUCCACGAGGAUAAAUUCCACAUGCACUUAUAGGGUCCCUAAAGACCCAAGAAUCUACCUGAAGCAGCAAAUACAACAGCUUUCCUUAAAAUCUGAGUCUUGGCAGGCCAGCAGCAUUGGAAGCACCUGGAAGUUCUGUUUGCUGAGGAACGCCUCCGUGUCAACUAAUGUGCACAAUUAUCUACCAGAAACUGGACUGAGAUCUCUCUCUCUCUCUCCCCCUUAG
rnacentral:lncRNA from 1 species